rnacentral:tRNA from 1 species
GCCUGGUUGGCUUAAUUGGUUAAGUGUCAGACUCUUGGUUUUGGCUCAGGUCAUGAUCUCAAGGUCGUGGGAUCAAGCCCCAUGUUGGGCU